GAAAAACAAAUGGGAUAGAAGGUCAUUUGUUGAAACCUUGGUCGUGAAUCCCGCGGGACAAUGCCACAUUGUCAGGCUGCCCCCCUCGGAACAUCUCCCCACCGAUAACACCGGUAUGUGUGUGGCUUGGAGAAGUUCCAGCAGCAACACGGAAAACAACCCUGGCGUGCCAGAGCUUUCGGCGAGCUCUGUCUUGCAAAGUCCGCCGUGCCUAGGACUUUCAUACUUUACGAGCCGCCCAGGACACUCCGACCCAGGGUUGCACCAGGGCGAAUCCGAUUGGCUGUCUAGCACUCAGCUCCAAAGACACUUCAGGGAUGUUUUCGGCGGCUACCAGUUCUAAGGAAGCCUCUCGUGUCUCCACCACCCGCGGCUGCCCUGUCCUUCUGCGUAACACCACUCGCAGCCCUUGCAACCUUCUGAACUGAUUUAUUCCUGUGUUGACUUGGUCCUUGUAUUUCCCCGUGGGAAUCAAGCGUCAUAAAAGCACCCGGUUUGUUUGUUUCCCUCUGUGUCCCUGGAAGACAAAAACGUGCGUGCUGCAUAAGGUGUGCAACAAUUAUUUGUAAAGAAACGAAUGGGAAUUGGGGAGAAGGGAGGAAGGGGGAGGGAGGGAAGGAAGGAAAGAAGGAAGGAAGGAGGGAGAGAGAGAGGCAGGAAGGGAGAAGGAGAAGGAAGGAAGGUUUAGAAGGAAAGACCUAGGUCUUUGAGAUCUUUUAUUUAAAACAGUACCACUUUUUUUUUAACUUUAUUUAUUUACUUUGAGAGACAGAGAGCACGAAUGAGGGAAGAGCAGAGAGAGAGGGAGAGAGAAUCCUAAGCAGGCUCCGUAUUGUCAGUGCAGAGCCUGACACGGGGCUCAAACCCAGGAACCAUGAGAUCAUGACCCGAGACAAAGUCGGACGCUUAAGCGACUGAGCCACGCAGACGCCCCAAAACAUUACCGCUUCUGAUGAGCACAUACUGAACGAGCACCUGCUUUGCACAGACACGUCUUGUGCAAUCUACCGGCCGGGAAAAGUGACCUAAUGUCCUGACCCUCAAAGGGACGGUGACCUUGAACUAAUUUCUCAGAACCCCUUCCAACACCUUGGAAGUCAAUGGUGUUAAAUAACAAAAAUUCAACCGAGCCAAUUUGGAAGAUCUAAUUGGCUUUAUCAAUCAAGUCAUGGAUCAGGCAGCAUCCCAGCUAUGAAGCAGAGGGAAGCUCCAAAGGGCUACAGAAAAGGGAAGAUUUUUAAAGGGAGAGACAGAGUGGCAAAAGUAAUUGAUUGUAAGGGAAGAAUGCAUCAUUUUAGGCAAGCUUGCCCUCCUAAGGGG
rnacentral:lncRNA from 1 species